GCAGCAUGGCUAGUUAGCUAACAUAGCUAGCUAGUGUUGUUAGCAAACAGAGCUACUGUUAGCUUGCAUCAGUAACAACCAGCCCAAUGAAAUCAGGCUGAAUUUUCUGUUCUUCUCCUCAGAGAUGAAGGUUGUGUUGCAGCUUCUGGCUGCUCAGGUGGCACUUUGGAUUGUGGACUUUACGCUGAAGAAGACUAGUUUAAAGUGGACUUGUUUCUGUGACUCUGAGAGGAAGUGGAGAUCUCGACUCACAGCAUUAUAAUAAAGCAGCUGUGCUGUGACAGGAAGUGAUUCUCCUUCACCAGAUGGCUGGGUGACACUUUCAACAUGACGAGACGCCACAGCUCGUGGUUUACGGUACAUCAGGAGUGUUUCCACGCUGAACGAUGGCUUACGCACCUGUCGUCUAUGAGUGUGUGUGUGUGUGUGUGUAUUCCAAAGUGCAUGAUGGCACUAGAAAGUGGAGCAUCUGCUUUUAUGCAAAUACUGAACAGAAAAGUGUUUAAUCUGAGCUGAGCUGGCGGUGUUGCAGGAGUGUAACGCGACGCUACUGCCUGUACCUCUGCCUGUCUCAGUCUAGAACACAUUAUCUGUUCAUUCUGUCUUUAUUUAAAAUAAAAUCUGUUUAAUGCCUGACACUGUGCUGCAGCCCUGUUUCUGAUCCACAGUCCAUCAUUUAGCUCCUCGUAUAGAAAACAUUACACUGUUUAGAGUUGCUCUGGAUGCCUCUACACUGAGGUUACGCUACAAUUAAUCAGGAUUCAAGCAUCAGCGACUGCAGCGAUGGAAACAGUGGCCUGAAAAAAUGUUUC